rnacentral:rRNA from 1 species
GAGUUUGAUCUUGGCUCAGAUUGAACGCUGGCGGCAUGCCUUACACAUGCAAGUCGAACGGCAGCACGGGAGCUUGCUCCUGGUGGCGAGUGGCGAACGGGUGAGUAAUGCAUCGGAACGUAUCCUGGAGUGGGGGAUAACGUAGCGAAAGUUACGCUAAUACCGCAUAUUCUGUGAGCAGGAAAGCGGGGGACCUUCGGGCCUCGCGCUCUUGGAGCGGCCGAUGUCGGAUUAGCUAGUUGGUGAGGUAAAGGCUCACCAAGGCGACGAUCCGUAGCAGGUCUGAGAGGAUGAUCUGCCACACUGGAACUGAGACACGGUCCAGACUCCUACGGGAGGCAGCAGUGGGGAUUUGGACAAUGGGGGCAACCCUGAUCCAGCCAUGCCGCGUGAGUGAAGAAGGCCUCGGUUGUAAG